CCUACGGGAGGCAGCAGUGGGGAAUAUUGCACAAUGGGGGAAACCCUGAGGCAGCGACGCCGCGUGAGCGAUGAAGUAUUUCGGUAUGUAAAGCUCUAUCAGCAGGGAAGAAAAUGACGGUAACUGACUAAGAAGCUCCGGCUAACUACGUUACAGCAGCCGCGGUACUACGUAGGGGGCAAGCGUUAUCCGGAUUUACUGGGUGUAAAGGGAGCGUAGACGGCGGUGCAAGCCAGAUGUGAAAGCCCGGGGCUCAACCCCGGGACUGCAUUUGGAACUGUGCUGCUAGAGUGUCGGAGAGGCAGGCGGAAUUCCUAGUGUAGCGGUGAAAUGCGUAGAUAUUAGGAGGAACACCAGUGGCGAAGGCGGCCUGCUGGACGAUGACUGACGUUGAGGCUCGAAAGCGUGGGGAGCAAACAGGAUUAGAUACCCGGGUAGUC
rnacentral:rRNA from 1 species